CGCUGGCGGCGUGCCUAAUACAUGCAAGUCGAACGGUCUUUCUAUGGAAGCUUGCUUCCACUGAGAAGAUAGUGGCGAACGGGUGAGUAACACGUGGGUAACCUGCCCAUAAGAGGGGGGAUAACAUCCGGAAACGGGUGCUAAUACCGCAUAGUUUUCUUGAUUGCAUGAUUGAGAAAGGAAAGACGGCCUUUGUGCUGUCGCUUAUGGAUGGACCCGCGGCGUAUUAGUUAGUUGGUGAGGUAACGGCUCACCAAGACGAUGAUACGUAGCCGACCUGAGAGGGUGAUCGGCCACAUUGGGACUGAGACACGGCCCAAACUCCUACGGGAGGCAGCAGUAGGGAAUCUUCCGCAAUGGACGAAAGUCUGACGGAGCAACGCCGCGUGAGUGAAGAAGGUUUUCGGAUCGUAAAACUCUGUUGUCAGAGAAGAACAAGUUGGAGAGUAACUGCCCCAGCCUUGACGGUAUCUGACCAGAAAGCCACGGCUAACUACGUGCCAGCCGCCGC
rnacentral:rRNA from 1 species